AGAUUGAACGCUGGCGGCAGGCCUAACACAUGCAAGUCGAGCGGCAGCACGGGUACUUGUACCUGGUGGCGAGCGGCGGACGGGUGAGUAAUGCCUAGGAAUCUGCCUGGUAGUGGGGGGAUAACGCUCGGAAACGGACGCUAAUACCGCAUACGUCCUACGGGAGAAAGCAGGGGACCUUCGGGCCUUGCGCUAUCAGAUGAGCCUAGGUCGGAUUAGCUAGUUGGUGAGGUAAUGGCUCACCAAGGCGACGAUCCGUAACUGGUCUGAGAGGAUGAUCAGUCACACUGGAACUGAGACACGGUCCAGACUCCUACGGGGGGCAGCAGUGGGAAUAUUGGACAAUGGGCGAAAGCCUGAUCCAGCAAUGCCGCGUGCAGGAAGAAGGCCUUCGGUGUAAACUGCUUUUGUACGAGCGAAAAGGUCUGCCCUAAGUACGGCGGACCAUGACGUACGUAAGAAUAAGCACGCUAACUACGUGCCAGCAGCCGA
rnacentral:rRNA from 1 species